UACGUAGGAGGCAAGCGUUGUCCGGAAUUACUGGGCGUAAAGCGCGUGUAGGUGGUGGGACAAGUCUGCUGUGAAAGCGCCUGGCUUAACCGGGCGAGGUCGGCGGAAACUGUCCGACUAGAGGACGGUAGAGGGGGGUGGAAUUCCCGGUGUAGUGGUGAAAUGCGUAGAUAUCGGGAGGAACACCAGUGGCGAAGGCGGCCUUCUGGCUCAUAACUGACGCUGUAGCGCGAAAGCGUGGGGAGCGAACCGG
rnacentral:rRNA from 1 species